UGGGGAAUAUUGGACAAUGGGCGAAAGCCUGAUCCAGCCAUGCCGCGUGUGUGAAGAAGGUCUUCGGAUUGUAAAGCACUUUAAGUUGGGAGGAAGGGCAGUAAGCGAAUACCUUGCUGUUUUGACGUUACCGACAGAAUAAGCACCGGCUAACUCUGUGCCAGCAGCCGCGGUAAUACAGAGGGUGCAAGCGUUAAUCGGAAUUACUGGGCGUAAAGCGCGCGUAGGUGGUUCGUUAAGUUGAAUGUGAAAGCCCCGGGCUCAACCUGGGAACUGCAUCCAAAACUGGCGGGCUAGAGUAGGGCAGAGGGUGGUGGAAUUUCCUGUGUGGCGGUGAAAUGCGUAGAUAUAGGAAGGAACACCAGUGGCGAGGGCGACCACCUGGGCUCAUACUGACACUGAGGUGCGAGAGAGUGGGGAGCAAACAGG
rnacentral:rRNA from 1 species